CCGGGCUCAGCCUUAGAGAUAGGGUAAGGAGCUCGGACACUCGGGAGGCGCUCAGAGUAGAACCACUGCUCCUCCACGUUGAGAGGAGUCAGCUGAGGUGGCUUGGGCAUCUGGUUAGGAUGCCUUCUGGAUGCCUCCUGUUAGAGGUGUUCCAGACAUGUCCCACCGGGAGGAGACCUUGCGGCCGGCCCAGGACCAGGUGGAGGGAUUUUAUCUCUCGCCUGGCCUGGGAGCGCCUGGGAAUCCCCCCAGAGGAGCUGGUGGAAGUGGCUGGAGUGAGGGCCAUCUGGGCUUCCCUCCUGAAGCUGCUGCCCCCGUGACCCAGACCCGGAUGAAGUGGAAGAAAACGACGACGACGAACUGAGGACUUCUUCCAGAGGACAGUUAUGGUAAGUUUUUUCAGAAGUACACAAAUUACUGAAUAAAAGACCAGAAGAUAAGAAGUGAUUGUUAAAGAUUUCAACCAUGGACAAUUUAUCAUAAGUAUAACCAGAUGCUUGCUUAAUAUGUGGAGGGAGCUGAGAGCAUGAAGGAUUCUCAAAAGAUGCUAUUGUUUUCCAGAAUUUAGCAGAGCUAUCAGACGCAGAGAGCUGAGACAUAAUAAUUGGAUUUGGCCUUCUUGAUUGCAUUGGUGCAGAUGUUUCUUUUUUAUCUAAAAACUAACCAAUCUUCAGCAGUACCACUAGAUCUAGCCUUGGACCACGCUUUAUCUCUACUAUGGAUGACAUUGGCGAGUUGUGGGGAGAACCAGGGACCGUAUCUUUUUUUAACUCUGUGUUUUUUACAAGGCGCAUGUCUGUCAGCAAUAACAUUAAAAGAAUGUGAAAAAUGUGCCAGUGUCUCAGAAGGAUCUUCUAUAGUGAGGGUGUCAUUAAUGUUUGAAGUAGAUAAAUCAAUAAGAAAAUUCUGGAGAUUAAAAUGUUUGUAAUUUCUAGUGGAGAUAAAGUGAGAGUGGAAUUUAGGAAUUAUGGUGUUUUGACGUCACUGAUGUCAAGUGGGAAAACUCCAGAGGCAGUGAAAUUGUGUGGUCUAUAAGAAUAAUGUCAAUUAAAGAGGAAUGGGGAGGGUUUUUUAAAUUUGGUCUGGUGGGUUUGUCUAUAAGUUGAGUUAAGUUGAGUUCAAGACACAGUUCUUUCAGUUUAUUAGAGCUGUAAGAGAGCCAGUCCAGGUUUAAGUCUCCCAUAACUGUUAAUUCUGAUGUGAUGUAUUGAGAGAGGACUGUACCAAUGUCAUCAACAGCAUCAGCAUGGGCUGAGGGGGGACAGUAAAUACCAGUAAUAAUAACAUGAGUCAUUUCCAAAACAUAAAUCCAGCAAAAUGUAUUCAAUUUUUUUAGGAACAGAGGAUGAUGAUAGUUCAUGUACUGUUAAACAGCCUUUUACAUAAAUUAACCCUUUGAUGCGCAACAUAUGCACACCCCCUCUAAUGCGCAACAUGGGUCUAAAAAGACCCGCAUUCAUUUCCAAUGGUAUUUCAUGCUGGCUGAGUUUUUCUUUGUUCUAUCUUUUGAAAUCAGUUUAUUUUCUGAUUGAAUAGUCCAAGUAUUCUUUAAAUAUCUUGUUUUUGAUCACCACUGAUCAUUAUUUCUAUUUUUCUUUUCAUACUUUAUGAAAUAAUAUAGUUUCUAUAUUAUUACAUCAAGUUUACACACAUGGGUCAAAAAUGACCCAUUCAUCCAAGUGUGAUUUAAUAUUAAAUUACCUAACACUAUAAUAAUAAUUUGUUUCAAUGAAAUUAGCAGUGAGUGGGGCCAAACCAUAGACUGUUUAUACUAUGGACAACUUGGUUCCGCCUACCGCCUGUAUACGGAUUUGGAGCCAAAAAGCUCUUGAUAUUUCCAGGAUUUUUCUACAUUUCUGAAACCAGCACUGCUCAGUAGCGAUGCGCGCAUUCGGCCGCGCAGUCGCUGAGAGUCAGUAGCUACGUUUACAUGGAGCCAAAUAUUCCGAAUAUAAUCGGAUUAGAAGCCCAAUCGGAAUGAAAAUGCUCCAUAUAAACACCUCAUUCGGAAUAAACAGGCCCAUUCCGAAUGGAAUUUCAUUCCGAUUCACAGGGGUAGAAUUUUCCUUUUCCCAUUCCGAUUAAAAGCAAAAUCCUGUCAUGUAAACGGUGAAUCGGAAAGUUGUCAGGCUGGGUUCUGUCUGCGCAUGCUCUGUCCUGAUGUAAACAAGCAGUGACGUAUGACUCACAUGGAAACAUGAUGGCGGCUUCCAAGCAGAGCACGAUGCACUGGUCUGCGUCGGAGAUCACGUGAUCAAUCAAUCAUGUGAUGUUUGAAGGUAUCACGUGUCUGUAAAUAGCUGUUCCGAUUGAAUGCCGUGGCACAUGUAAACACCAGAUCAGAAUAGAUCGCUUCCAUGUAAACAGUUCGCCUGGGAGCUUCAAUCGGAAUGAUUAUAAUCCGAAUGAGAAAAAAGUCUGCAUGUAAACGUGGCUACUGUGAUGACGCUCGGCUCAAACAGCGUAUCCCCCCGGGAGAGCUACGCAAUCCCUGAACGCCCAUAGGCUGUAUCCAUAGACUGUAUAUACUAUGGACAACUUCGUUCCACCUACCGCCUGUAUACAGAUUUGAAGCCAAAUAGCUCUUGAUAUUUCCAGGAUUUUUCUUCAUUUCCUGAAACCAGCACUGCGCAGUAGCAAUGCGCGCAUUCGUCCGCGCAGCUGAAGAGAGUCGCUGUGAUGACGCUUGGCUCAAACAGCGUCCCUGGGAGAGCUACGCAAUCCCUGAACGCCCAUAGGCUGUAUCAGGUGUCAAUCAUAGCAAACAUGAACCCCUAAUAACUUUUAAAAAUGGAGCUUCACAGAAAAAGAGGAAAAAUUUAUGUUCUGUGUAAUAAAUUUCUAAAGUUUGUCCACAGCCCUAUCCGCUUUGCUGGCGGAGGCGGGAUUUAUAACCUAUACUGCAGCCCAUCAACAGAGGGUGCUGUUCUCGGAGUGGCUUCACCCAGCGAGGAGGCAGACUCUGUCCAUUCUAUAUACAGUCUAUGGCAGGUGUCAAUCAUAGAAAACAUGAACCCCCUAAUAACUUUUAAAAACAGAGCUUCACAGACAAAAGAGGACUUGAGCACAAACCAGUCUUACAAUAACUACAUGUCAACAUCACAAGCAGGGGGGAGAAAAAUAUAUGUUCUGUGUAAUAAAUUUCUAAAGUUUGUCCACAGCUCCAUAAGGUUUGCUGGCGGAGGCGGGAUUUAUGACCUAUACUGCAGCCUGUAAACAGGGGGUGCUGUUCUCGGCUUCACCCAGCAAGGAGGCAGACGCUGUCCAUUCUAUAUACAGUCUAUGGGCCAAACACUUAUGUAUUUUGUAUCAGCAACAUGUUUAUUUGUCAUUUUUUCACAUACACAUGCGUCCGAUUAUAGCUAGCUGAAAUAACGCUAGCUGUUUUACCUGUAACUGUGUAACUUUCCAACAUGUAAUGUCCUCACUCUCAAGGUAACCUAAACCUAAUCAAAUCAAAUCUAUGUACAAUUAUAUUUCACAAUUGUCAUCAAAUAAUUUCUAAGAUAAUGUCAGAACAAUUGAAAAACCAUACAUGUAUUAGACAGUCUUUUCAUGCUAAAUGCUACAGUCACUGUAUGUGGGUCGUUUCUGACCCAUGUAUGUAAACUUGAUGUAGAAAUACAAAAUCUGUGCUUCCUCAUAACAUAAGAAAGAAAAAAUAAAAAUGAUUAUUUGUGCUCAACUAAAACAAGAUCUUUACUGCAUACUUGGAAUAGUAAAUGAUAAAAUUAAUUUAUUUCAAAGAUAUACCAUAGAAACACUCAGCCAUACAUGAAAUAACAUUGAAAAUGGAUACGGGUCAUUUUAGACCCAUGUUGUGCAUUAGAGGGGUAGUGAUACAAAAACGGUUUUUAUUCUUAAAGUAAAAAAAGAAAAAUUAACAUAAGGAUGUAGGGUCGUCAAAAACAAGUUAACUGAGGAAUUCCUUGAGUACCGACUGAUGGAAUUAAUUUUUUGAAAAGAUAUAUAAAAUUUAAACUAAGCCGGGUCUUUUUUGACCCAUGUUGCGCAUCAAAGGGUUAAAAGUCCUCUUCCUUUGCUUUUACAAUCAUGCCUAAAAAUAAUAGAACCGUCUGUGCUUAGGUUGUCCUUUGAUAUUUUGGAGGAGAUGUUUCAGACAGGAUGAGAACAUUUGGUGAGGUUUCACGAAUGAGACCUGCUCCGUGUUUAUUCUUAUCCUAACUCUUUUUAAAGACAAACUUUUUUGUUCAUAGUUUCCUGUUAAUCCUGCUCCCUCUGCUAAUAUGAGAGUCAACGUUUUACCCUCUUUCCUGAGUCGAAGUUUUAGCUCCACUUUUAAUGUGCGGUAAGUCUGUAUGUGCUGCCCUGCUGUUCUAUUGAGAAAAUAUAACAGUAUUCGGGUCGAAAUAUAUAAAUCUAAUUAAAUUAUUAAAUGUACUAGACAACUUGUGAAAUGAGCCAGAAGCCAGGUGAUCUCCAGCGAAUGUAAACCUAGCUCAGGAGACAGACUGCCGGCCCGUAGAAAGACAAAUUUUAAGCCUAUGUAAAUGAGUCUUUUAACAUAGAUAUCAUACUGAUAAUACAGCCUUAUACUCACACAGACUGAGAAAUCUAUUUCAGUGGAUAAUGAAUCAGACACCUGGUUUAAAUGGUUUGAAUUACUCUGAUUUUUAAUAUUUACAUAUGUAUACAAAUAAAUCUUUCCUCUUAUGCAUAACCAAAGGCUGGACUGUUUUGGAUACGAACCCUAACCUCCUCUAAAACCAACACUAAUGAGGAGGAUAUUACAAACUCAUUUACACAGCACUAAGAUACAAACAACCAAAUGGAACAACAUAUGUAGGAAAUGCCGAGCGAGCUAAUGAGCUGAGGAAUUCGGUCUUAUGUAAUGAAGCCACAAUGAGCUGUUGUGUCACCUCAGGCAUUUGUUUACUUGGUUUCCUGACAGGAGUCGCGUUUGCAUGAAGAUGAUCCAACUACAGGAAAAAAGAUGAUGGAUUUACAGCAUCAGUCAUUUCUUAGAAAGCUCAGACUAAUCAGACUCUGAGUUUAUUUACUUCAGACUGUUGGAGCGUCCGACAAAUCAAACCGAGCAGCUCAACGCCACAAAAUAUUACUAUGCAGGUACGUAGGUAUAUUGUUCUUGUCUUUUAUCAGAGCUCCUCCAUUAUUACACAGUCAAAGCUCAUCUGAAAGUCAGCUCAGUCCAGUUUUUCUCCAGGGUGUAAAGAAACUCUGGGGAUGGAGGAGAGUUUGUUUUUUAAUCCACCACCAACAGUCUGGAGAGCAGUUUGGAGAGCGACCGAGGAUCCUGUGGAACUGAAAAGCCAGAAGAGAGAGAUGAACAGCAGACUGACGUGUGUCUGCACACAGGGAGGCCUGCCAGUAAGGAGUUGCUGUAGCCAGUCCUUGAUAAUACGGUAGCCUUUGCCCAGAGCCGCUCAGUCAGAUAGUGUCUGAUCCUCCUGAUGUUGUAGAAGGAGAGUCUGGUUGUGGUACAGGAAACCAUAGAAACUGAACAUGUGCAUAUAUGAGUUGAUGAGUUGUGCAACAGUUGACAAUCAGUCACAGGGUUUCUGGUCUGCUUCACUUUGUUGAUCUGCUAAGAGUACAGAGGUACGCGUACCUUAAUCAUAGGUAUGAUGAAGGAAAAUAAAAUAGACUUUCAUGGGCCUGAGUAGGUCUGAGAAGAAAACUGCAGCCCAGCUUGCAUGCUGAAUCUCCCAGCAGUUUUUAUUUAAAAGGACGAAGCUGACCAGCAUCCACUGAGACCAACACACGAACAAACGACACGCAAUUUGAACAAAUGCAUUUGACAUUUGGCGUAAAAACCUACAAGAUAAACAAAUAAAGGGUUUCCUCCCUCCAUGCCCUGUUUCUUGCCACCACUCUUAACUGCAUGUAACAUACAUCUUAACCUCAUGUUAAAAAAUAAUGAAUUAUUCUAUUUGUAUUUAUUAGUAUUUAUUAUUAACAGCCUGGAUAAAGUUCUGUGGGUGCACAUAUCCUAAAGAAAAAAAACAUAAUCCUGAGUUUCUGUGAGCAGAUGUUGUCUCCAGCUGCUCCAUUUCCUCCUAUAGAUCUCGUUUACAUCAAGCCAAACAGUAAAUACUUUGAUAAAGGGACAGCAUGCUGCAAAGACUCACAUUUUCUUUAAGUACAUUUUGUAAGUGAAUUUGUUGAAUUUGUUGUGACACAGAGGUCUGAGAAGCCUGAGAGGAAAACAGGUGCAGGGUUUGGCUUCUUCUCAGACUCAGAUGAAGUUUGAAAAAACUCUCAAAGUUAUAGUUUGGAUUUUGUGCCAAGAUAAGACUAAUCGGACCUCAAGGAAGUCGGUUACUAAACAGCAACUUGCAUGUGAAAAAGGAAUUUAGAUGUGUUUGUGGGUUUUGGUUUGGAGCAGUCACAUCUCUUACUGGCAAUGAUUGGAAACAAGGACUGUUUAAAUGAAGAGUUAAUGGGAAAACCAAAGAUCAGACAUGUUUUUGUCAUAAAGACUGUAAUGAAACCGUGUUAGAAAUGAAGAAACCUGAAAUGUUUGUGGUUUGGUUUGGAAGCUGUUGAUGUUUUUGUAUGAGUAAUACAACCACAAAACCACAGACAAACAAAUUAUCAGAUAAAGGUGGUUUGGGUUUGCGCCGAUGCAGCACGUAAACAGUAAGUCAAAGUGAGUGUCAUCAGCGUCGAGAUAAAUCUAAGGUGGUCUAAGUUGUCUAUUCGAUUUAUCUCUUACUCUUUUAAUGAUGUUUUUGAUGUGUUAUGUGUCACAAACAGUUUAAUUUGAGUGGCAUAAUGAGUGAUGAGGGUCUGUUUUUGAUAUUGAGUCUAUCUUUAGACGUCCUGACAGUGAGCAGCUCGGCAUGCUCAUGGUGGUUUUGGUUUCUCCCUGGGAACAUUUUUUAUUUCCUGUUUUUGGUUCCAGUGUAAUGGUGCUGACAAAGAUCUGGAUCAGGGUCAGUAAUAAGCUUCAUGGUCAGGGUUGUACAAUAGACUGCUAGUCUAUUAUACAACCCUGACCACAGCACUUACUACUUUCUGGGCAGCAUAAAUGAAAGCCUCUGCAGAGAGAGAGAGAGAGAGAGAGAGAGAGAGAGAGAGAGAGAGAGAGAGAGAGAGAGAGAGAAACAAAAGUCUUCCAGCUAAUAAAACUAAAACUAAAGAUUAAAAGACACACAGAGGCAGCUGUAGACUGAGAUUAGAAAACAGUGGUCUUCAUUUCAGCUGAUUUUUUCAUUUUCAAUAAAUAGAAAGUAUUUUAACAUGUUACACCAAGUGUCUUCGGCUUCAAAUCUUCUGCAUGCUCCAGCCCACUUUCUUCUACACCCAGUCUGUUCCCACGCUUAUCUCUUUAAAACAGCAGCUGAGAGGCUCCAAACUGUGAUAUACAGUAUAUACAGUGGACAUAGAAGCUUCUCUUUUCACUGCUAGGUUCUUUUUAUCGCCAGGAAUUAUAAGCGUGCCAAAUAAAUACCAGACUCUCUAUCUGAACUCUUUGAUAAAAUUGUCAAGUUUUGGUAGUUAAAGUUUCAAAGGUCAACUGUGACCGGGCCUCAGAGCAUCAUCUUCAUGCUUGAGGUUGGUGUAAACUUAAUGUUCCACUAAGAUGUGUAACUAUAUACUUUGCACACUUGUGUAUUUCUUAAGUUUGCAGAGCUCUGUGCAGUAAUGCUGACAUCAGUGGAGGACCUACAUUAUCAAAUUUAUCAUUGGGUGUCGUGAUUUCCUAUUUUGAUGUUUACAACAAAGAGACAUUCUGCAGUUAAGGAUUGAGAUGUUUCUGUGUAUCUUUUUUCCAACAAGUGAUAGACAUAAAAAACAUAAUCCAAAUCCAUCUGUGCUCAUAUGAGAGAGUGUGAAGGACGCCCUCUGCAGCGACACUUGCUGAGGAGCUGCCUUCUGUCGCCAUCGUGUGGCAUUUCUGUCUGCAGACAUCUCUUGAUCUCUUUGACUACUUCACGAAAAUAGUAAUACGCCUCGCCGGUGGUGGAUUUAAAGGCAAGGAGAGGAGCUAAUGUUAUUGGUCAAUACAGGUCUUGGCUGUGUUGAACCCACUCCACGCCCUCUCUUCUCCCUCGCUACAACUUACGCCGCUGGGAGGAGCUGAGUUAGGGAGGGGGGAUACUUACGCCGGGCUGCGCCUCUCACCAAAAUACCAAAUUGUGCUUGGGAACGCCUUGUCGGCGCGGCGGACCUGACUUACGCUGCACCUGCGGCACGUCUCCGGUGAAGCACGAAAAUAGAGCCCUGCGUUUUGAACCAAACAGUGCAAACUUGUUUCUAGUCAUCAUAAGUCCAAUUUUUGUGAGCUUUUGCCCACUCAUAUCUCUUUUUCUUGUUCUGUGGACGAAGUAGUGUUUUUUUGCAGAUACACGACCCUUCAGACCAGCCUUUCUCAAACGUCAUUUCACGGUUGUCAGAGAUAUGGGUUUCGACCUUGUCUUGUUGAUUUCCUCCCUUAUUUUUGGUGCUGUCUUUUGCUGAUCUCUCUUACUUGUGACAAUGCUACAUUUAUCCUCUGCCUUUGUAGUAACUCUCCUUCAUCCAGGUCUUUUUCUAUCAUCAUAACUUCCAGGUUCCUCUAGUCUCUUCAGAGUGUAGUGGACUCCUUUGUUAAACACCUUUAGGCGUUUUGCAAUUUCUUUUUCUGUGUAUCCUUCUUUCCUCAAUGUACAAAUAUGUACUUGUUUCUUUACUUAGUUGAUUCUUUUUAGCCAUUUUUGCGGUGGUUUGAACGCAGUUGAGAUUUAUUAGGAUUUUUGUAUUCAGACUCUCAAAAGCCAAAAAGUUGAUGUGAUUUGUUUUUUUGCUUUUGCACUGAAGUUGUGACUCUUGCAAAUGUUUUCAACCCUAAAACUAAGCCCUUAUUAUCUUUUGCUGACAUAUAUUUAGCAAUGGUCUGUUAACAUGGAAAACUUACAUUUACAGAUGCUUUCCUUCUGAAUUUUGACUUGGCAAAGUCCUUGAUAAUGUCUUCAAUUUCCAGGGAGGUUGUUAAUACAUUCUCAAUCGCCUACAGGGCAAAGGAGUUCAGUUUUUUUUUCUGUUACUGUUGCUGUCCUGUAUGUUUUCACUUAUUUCAACAACGAAAAUGGUGUGGCUUUCCAAAUCAUGUCCAAUCAGCUGAAUUCGCCACAGGUGGACUGCAAUUAAGUUGGAGGAACAUUUUAAGGCUGAUAAGUGGAAGCAGGAUGCACCUGAGCUCAAUUUUGAGUUUAAUAGCAAAGGUUGUGAAUACUUAUGUAUAUGCAACAUUUGAGUGUCUUAUUUUUAAUAAAUUUGCAAAAUGUUCUAAAAAAAGUUUUUCACUUUGUCAUUAUGGCGUAUUUUGUGUAGAAUUUUUGAGGGAAAAAAGGAAUUUAAUCCAUUUUGGAAUAAGGCUGUAACAUAACAAAAUGUGGAAAAAGUGAAGUGGUAUGAAUACUUUCCGAAAGCACUGUAUAUAUAUAUAUAUAUAUAUAUAUAUAUAUAUAUAUAUAUAUAUAUAUAAAGGCUGUCAAAGUUAACGCGUUAUUGUCGCGUUAACUCAAGUGACUUUUAUCGCCACUAAUUUUUUUGACGCACGAUUAACGCAAGCCUUAGCCUGGCUUGAUCAAACUAUACACACACUGCGUGGAUAUUCUUGCCGUUGUAAAAGGGUAGAGGAACAGUUGGUGAGGUGUCCAGGCUAUGUGAGCCUCGGGGCACUCCGUAGUUUCGUGAAUCAGGAUGUAGAGCACUGACUGAUACCGCAGCAGACAUAAACAAAUCCCUGUGAACAGUAACUAGGAUAUAAUGGAUAAGAACACAAUUUUGAACAUAAAGUUCAGCUACAAAGCCUUGCCAGAUGGCUCUCUUGACAGGACAAAAGUCAUUUGUGUUUCCUGUUGAGCUGAAUUUAGUCACCGGAGUACGUCUAGUCUCAAAUAUCACUUGUCGGCCAAGCACACAGCUGAUGCAGAAAUGGAAAACUUACAUUUACAGAUGCUUUCCUUCUGAGUUUUGAUGAGGCAAAGUCCUCGAUAAUGUCUUCAAUUUCCAGGGAGGUUGUUAAUACAUUCUCAAUCACCAACAGGGCAAAGGAGUUCAGUUUUUUUUUUCUGUUACUGUUGCUCUCCUGUAUGUUUUCACUCGUUUCAACAACGAAAAAGAUCUUUCUCCUGAACAGUUUGCACUUGGUAAUGUCCAAUAAAUGCGAAGGCAAAUGUCCACAUUAGGGAAAGCCUCCCUCAAGCCUAGUUCUAGGAGCUUCUUCUACAUGGCCAUGACAGAUUUUUCAUCUUCUACCAUUGAGAUGAACUUACAAAACUCUGCUGUAAAGUCCUCUUUAAGAUCCUGAGGGCAUAUUUUCUUCAGCUUUUCUGUGGCUGCACGGAUUUGUUCAAUGUCCAUUGAUUUUGUUUUAGUUAGGAAACUAAAUUUCUUUUCCACAUUUUUGUAUGCAUCUUUGCUUCUUUGCAGAAAAAUGCUUCACGGCCUGAGCACCGCAACUCUGGACCUGCAGACUCACCAAACAUAACUUUCAUCACUUGUUUUCUUUGGCUAUCUGCUUUGUAUACCUCUGUUGCUGUGAGAGUUUUGGCCUCUGCUUCAUAGACAUCAAAAUCAUUUUUGGCUUGUCCUAUGAACUCUAUGAGUGAACUGUACAGAAUAGGAACAGUACAUACAUCAAUUUGUACCUGCUGCAAUGCUUUGCUGGUUAAAUUGAUUCUCCUCAGCAGGUCAUCCCACAGUACUGUCAUAACUGCAGUUUCAAGGGUGUCCAUCAGGGUUAUUAGUUGACAUGCCUCAUACUGAGCAGCUCCAGGGGUUCCAUGGUCAACUUUGAUUUCAUUCAAAGCAUCCUGAAUAGCUUUGUAGCCAAAUCUCAGAGCUUUUGUUGCAUCAGCUCUUGCAGACCACCUUGUGCCAGAAAGGCUCUUCAGUGUCAGAUCUCGCUAGGCCUGGAUUGGCAAUAGGGAGAGGCGGGACUUUUGCCGGUGGCCUGCCUCCUAUUCGCCUGACUGGCCUGGCCGCACUGGCAGGCCAACAAAAAAAAAGCUGGUCUGCUGUUUCCAGGCAGACAGGCCAGGGACAGCAGCACUGCCUGCAGAGUACACGCCCUCCUCCUGCCACUCAUACAAAGCAUGCGCUCUGAGUGCUGGGAUCAGAGGGGUUGGGAUUCAUCAAAAUAUCGUGAUUGGUCAGUUGCUUUAUGGCCCGCCCCUUCACAGCGUAAACAGGAAAACAAACACAGGCUGUGUCUCAUUUCAGAGACCGCACCGUCGAACGGUGUCCCAUUUGGCUCGUAAUUCUGAGCGCACUUCAAAUGCGAUCCCAAACCACACUACCCCCGCCCCUUUUUCAAGCAUGCAUUUAUGCACGCUUUUGUGGCCCUGGUAUCCCAGAAUUCUUUGCAUGCCGGAGCACAGCUGCGCAUUUCGGGUGAGUGGCUGGACUCACUUGGAGAUGCAGCGCGUCUUCAAAGAGAAUAAAAGAAAUCCAUAAACAGCAAACUGUCAAAUCAGGCUGCAUGAGCGCAUGAUCUCUAAACUUGCUUAAAUCUGCAAACCAAACAUUAUACUCUUUAGAAAAGAACGGAUCCGCUCUGCUACAACAAUCAAAAACAUUAGAAAUAAGAAAGCUGACAAAACUACAUCAGAGUAUCAGGACCACAUCAUUUCUUUUAAAAGACUUAGAGAUUAAAGUUGUAAACUUGGAAGAAUAAAGUUAUCAAGUAAAUAAAGUCAUAAAGCUGCUUUUGUGGAGGGGGAAAUGACUGAAGCCGGUCAUCUACAGGGUCAUCGGUGGACGUAUCAUUCAGAGAGCUUUUGUGGUUUCUGAAGAAACAAUGGCAGCAUGUGUGGUGUCUCUGUUCAGUCUCUGCUCAGUGUCUGUCUGUUUUUAAUAUUUCUUUCUGGAUUUUAUAAUACUUAGUAUUUUUUUUUUUUUCCAUUGUGGACUACUCAAUGCUCUAGUUUACUGAAAGUUUGCAUCAAGGUUUGUGGAUUUUGGCAUUUUCCUUUGGGAAGCUACUCUGCUCUACUUUGUUUGGCUACUCCAUAGGCCACCUGUUAGCCUUUAAAACCUACUCAAGACUAUGGGAGCGGCUGCAGUGUGGCUAGAUUGCAGCCAAGAUCUGCAGCAGUACCAACAACAAGAAAAACUCAGUAGCCUGAGGCCUACCUCAUCCACCCAGCUCUGCAGCCUGAGGCCUACCUCAUCCACUCAGUUCUGCAGCCUGAGGCCUACCUCAUCCACUCAGUUCUGCAGCCUGAAGCCUACCUCAUCUACCCUGCCCUGCAGCCUGAGGCCUACCUCAUCCACCCAGUUCUGCAAGCCUGAGGUCUACCUCAUCCACCCUGCACUGCAGCCUGAAGCCUACCUCAUCCACCCUGUCCUGCAAGCCUGAGGCCUACCUCAUCCACCCAGCUCUACAGCUGAGGCCUAUUUCAUCUAUCCUGCCUUGCAGCUGAGUCAACUUCCAUCAUGGCGAGUAUAAUUCUCGCCCUCCUGGCUUUGCUCUGUUUGCCUUUAUUUUCAGAGUAUGAAGCCAACCAGGAGAUCCCAGUGAGUGUCUGUAGCGUUUCCCUACAUGUUCUUUGUAUGUCAUCACGGGCAAAGGUUACUAGCUGGGCGCAGGACUUUGAUUUCAAUCAAGGGUGCUGGAAGCUUGAAAUGAGCCAGGUUUCAAAGCAUGUAAACUUUAAUUAUCUUUUAAGCCUUCUUCUCCUAAAGGACUGCCUUAUCCCAUCAAAUGACUCUUGGCCUAUUACGAUAAAUGAUGUCUCUGAGAAAAUCAAGAAGCAUUUUCAUGAAACACGCAUGUUGAAAUGUAUGAUUAUGCUUAUGUUGUUGAUAUCAGGGAAUGUUCAGCCUAACCCAGGCCCUGUGUCUGAUGUGAUAACACUACAAACCCCUGCUGAAUUUCUGAAUAGGUCUGGUAUUGGUUUUGUAUAUGAAUGUGAGAAGUCUUUUGCCCAAAAUUGAUAUGGUUAGAAUUUGGGCCAAAUCAACAAAUGUUGACAUUAUGGUUUUAUCUGAGACAUGGCUGAGUAGAUCCACGCCUGAUAGUCAUAUUUAUUUGGAUGGGUAUAAUAUCUUUCGUGCUGAUCGCCGUGCCAAAGGUGGAGGCAUAGCAAUUUAUGUUAAAAAUACAUUUCAGGCAACAGUACAAUUAUCCAAGUCUGUAUUUAAACAAUUUGAAUUGCUUGUCUUGAAAGUUGAAUUUACGAAGAGCUGUGUUAUGACAGUAGGGGGAUGUUAUAGACCUCCUUCUGCCUUAAAGGAUACACUACUCUCAUUGUCUGACUGCUUAUCAUAUAUUAACUACAAUGAUCUGCUUUUAAUGGGGGAUUUAAAUUGGGAUUGGUUAACCCCUGCUUCUGAUUCUUUUAAAUGUUUCUGUGACUCAGCCCUUUUGGCUCAAAUUAUUGACUCACCAACUAGGCCAAACCCUAAACACCCUGAGAAGUCUACACUCCUUGACUUGAUUUUAACCAAUUUUCCCGAGAAAUACAAGGCUACCGCUGUGUUUGCAAAUGAUGUUAGUGAUCACUGUGUUAUUGUUUGCGUGAGAGACACAAAGUUAUCAAAAUGUAAACCCCGUAUCAUACUUAGGCGUAAUUUUAAGUCAUUUUCUGAACAAGCCUUUUAAAAUGACAUGUAUCUAUGUGAUUGGACCAGGGUAAAUUUGAUUCCAGAUGCUGAGACAGCUUUACAGUAUUUUAAUUCCUUACUUUUGGACAAACAUGCUCCUCUCAGAAAAUACAAGGUUAAAGGUCGUGAUAAUCCAUGGUUUUCAGAGCAACUGUCUGAUUUAAUCAUAAACGAGAUCUUGCCUGGGCAACUGCAAGAAAAUCCAAAAAUAGCUCAGACUGGCAACUUUUUAGGCACCUGAGGAACAAGUGUGUCUCUCAGAUACGUAAAGCCAAAGCCGAUUUUUAUCUUAAUGAAAUUUGUGACAGUGCAAACAACCCUUCUAAAUUCUGGAAAAUGAUUAAAUCACUGUCUUCAGGGUCAAAGGAUACUGUGCUGCCAAAUACAUUAAAGUUGAAUGAUGUGACCAUUACAGACAAGAAAAGUAUGCUAGAUUCUUUGAACCAGUACUUUAUAUCUUCUGGGUUGUUGUUUGAGCAGGACAUACCACAAGUGGUGAAUCAACAGGAUCACUCAUUGUCCAGGGAAAAUCUACCUUUUGAUUUUGAUCUUGUUGCUUUGUCUAGAGAUGAGGUAUAUGAUGCUCUCUCAAGGUUAAAUGCCAAGAAAUCCCCCGGUCCUGAUGGGUUGGGUCCUUACUUUUUAAAACUUGCUGCUGAGCAUAUUGCAGACCCCCAGACUUAUGUUUUCAAUCGGACUAUAGAAACUGGGAUAAUACCUAGCAUUUGGAAAUCAGCGUAUGUCACUCCUUUACUGAAGGGUGGUGACAGGUCUAAUCCCAAUAAUUAUAGGCCGAUAUCCAAAUUACCUGUUUUGGCCAAGGUCUUGGAAGGGCUUAUAAGUGAUCAGCUGAAAAAUUUCUUGACAUCAAAUAGCAUUUUAAAUGAAUUACAGUCUGGUUUCCGUAAAAAACACAGCACAGUCACUGCCACGAUGAAAGUGUUAAAUGAUUUCAUUUGUUCUAUUGACUCUAAAGAAUAUUGUGUUGCUUUGUUCCUAGAUCUGUCAAAGGCUUUUGACACAGUCGACCAUUCUGUCUUGUCCCAGAGAUUGGAGGAUAUUGGAAUGUCUUCCAAUGCGGUGAAAUGGUUUGGUAACUACUUGAGUGGCAGAACACAAAGGGUUCAGGUUGAUGGUUUGUGUUCCAACUCCUUGUCUAUUCGAAACGGUGUCCCUCAGGGGUCCAUACUGGGUCCUAUUUUAUUUACUAUUUAUAUUAAUGUAUUAUGUCAAAAUGUAACUGAUGCCAAUUUCCAUUUUUAUGCAGAUGACACCGUUUUGUAUUGCUCAGCUCCAUCAUUAGCUAGUGCAACAGAACAUCUGCAGUCUGCUUUUAAUGUUAUUCAGAAAAAUCUCUAUCAAUUAAGACUUGUACUAAAUACUGACAAGACUAAAAUGAUGUGCUUUUCAAAAUCAUUGAGAUCACAUGAUGUCUGUCAGAUUGUUACUCUAAAUGAGAAAUUAGUUGAACGAGUUUCUGUCUACAAAUACCUGGGAUUUCACUUGGAAGAAAAUUUGUCCUUUAGGCACCAUAUUGAAUGUCUUACAAAGAAACUUCGGGCGAAACUGGGUUUCUUCUAUAGAAACAAGGCUUGUUUCUCCUUUGGUGCAAGAAAAAGGCUUAUACAGGCAAUGUUUUUAUCCAUACUUGAUUAUGGUGACUUCUUAUAUAUGCAUGCAAAUCUCUCUUCUUUAAAAAUGCUGGAUUCAGUGUAUCAUGCGGCAUUAAGAUUUGUAACUGGCUUAGAUUUUCGUACUCAUCACUGCAGUUUAUAUGAGAGUGUUGGUUGGUCCUCUCUGCAAAAUCGUAGAUUGGAACAUUGGUAUAUCUUUCUUUACAAGGCCAUUCUAGGUGACUUGCCCUCUUACCUAUGUUCCCUCUUAACUCCCAAAAUCACCAACAGGAGUAAUCUCCGGUCUGAUGGACAGAUCAUGUACGCUAUUCCUCUGACAAGGACGGUUUUUGGCGAAAGCGCUUUCAAGGCUUUUGCACCCUCCUCCUGGUGUAAAUUACAGGGUUAUUUUAAAUUGGAUUAUCUGCCAAGUAUGGCACAUUUUAAAACUAGAAUUAAGGAGUUUUUGAGUACUAAAUGCACAUGUCUUCUUACUGAAUGCUGAUUUAUUGUUGUGUUUUGCAUACUGUAACUGUUUUGUGUUUCUGCGUGUGUGUUUUUUUUUCUUUAUGUGGAACUUCUUGUGCUGCUAUCCUGGCCAGGACUCCUUUGUAAAAGAGAUUCUGAAUCUCAAUGGGUUUAUUUCUUGGUUAAAUAAAGGUUACUAAACUAAACUAAACUAAUCCAACGGAUGAUCAACAUUUGUGAUCCAGAGGGAGUCGAGCUACGACGAGCACCACGUCUCUGACACCGGCGGUAACCUACACCUGCAGAGACACCAACACCUUAUCAUGGCAUAUGGAUUCAUAUCAUAAACUAAGCUCAAUGUCAUUCAUGGCUAUUUACGGCUGAAUUGACGGAUUUAUCUGCAGCAUAUCCAUUUCUGCUUCCACAAAGCGAUGUAUUUCUCAUAUAUUCUUUUUAAAGUCUUUCACUUAUGGCAAUGUUAAGGAUGACAUUUUUCCAUUUUCCAGUGGGUCACGUGAUUCCCGUGGGAAUCCCUUGGGAUGGGAGUCAUUUUUUAAUUAAUCCCGUGACCAGGACGGGACGGGGAAAAAAAGCAACCCGAGCGGGCAAGAGCGGGAACAACAUUAAUAGAUGAUAAUUUUCAACCGUGUUAAACAACCAGAUGAACAGAUUCGUCCAUUUUUGUAGUCAUCUCUUAGUGAGAGCCAACACUCUUGACCGCGCAAGCAACACAAAAGAACUACAACAGUGGAUUGACUUCCUGUCAGCCGGGAGCAUGGCUGCGCAUUUCUACCCUUCAAGCCAGGAGCGCGGCUACGUCAUUUUGUGACAUUCUGUAGUUUUUUAAUCAUUUCUGGAGUCGUGGCGAAUCAAAUCACUUUACCUGUCUGCCUCUGAUAGGGGAAUAAAGCGCUUGGAUUCAUGCUCAGAUCUUGCUACGUGCUUCAUGAGUAAAGUAAAUAACGACGGAGGCAGAGAGCAGCUUUGGAGGACCUCCUCUUCACAUGGAGUGCUUUGGUUCAUACUAUUGGUGUUUUCUGUGAGUGUUGCAUGACUUUGGGUGAGCACAGAGAUGAACACACUUCAGCCACGUAUUUAUUUAUUCAUUUUUCUAGUUUUAAGUGCUGGUCUUGUACUGGCACUAUACUAGGGCAGCUGUAUACCCUUUCAACACUUGAUUUCUUAUAUUUACAUUUGUGUUGAAUGGACACUUUAUUAUGACUGCAACUUGUUUUACAGAAAGCAAAUAGUUUAUUAUUCUCCAGUGCAGUUUAAUUCAUUUAAGUUUGUUUCUUCAAUGUUUUCAAAAAUUUGAUGAAGGUUCCAAAAAAUAAUAGAUAGCUUUCUUGAAAGCCACACAUGUAAGCUCUCAAAUACUUUUUGAAUUCUGUUUCUAUCUGCGACAGAGGCUGAGAUAUCAUAGAUAUCAUAUAUAUUUGUAAACCUCAACAGUUAAGAAAACCUCAGGAUCUGGGGGCCCUUCUCAAAAUGGCCCCCAGGAUUCCAGAGGCACAGCUCAGACAGCGUGGAGGGGGUCUCGUCUGGGCAGUAAUUUAGUCUAGAACCGCCACUCUAUAUAUAUGCACUUUGCUUACACCGACCGAAUGUCAGGCAUGUGAAACUUAAAGGCAUUGCCUUUUAUAUGCACUGCACUUUACCUAAAAUAAAAAAUGCAACAUUUUUUCAACGUUUGGUUUUAUUCAAACGUGAGCGGGACAGGAGUUGGAGUAGUUCUGAGUGGGAGCAGGAUGGGAGUGGGAGUCAUUCUACAGCAGUGGGACAGGACAGGAUAAUUUUUUUACUCCGGGAUUGGGAUAGGAAGGGAUUUUUUCUCUGGGAGUGGGAUGGGACAGGAGUGAAAAUACGCUUCCGUGUCACGCUCUAUGACAAUGUAAUGCUGAUGUGCCAAAGGAUGAAGUUUCUCCUUGUUUUUGAAACCGAUACUGAGCACAGUUCCUUCAAAUGCUCCAUGGCCCUAAUUUUAACAACUCUCCUCUGAAAUAACAGGUAAUCUUACGACUUAUUCUCAUAAAUUAAUGACUUUAUUCUCGUAAAUUCACGACUUUAAUCUCAGUCUUUAAGAAAAUUCUCAAUACGGCCCUCAUACUCCAUACAAAACAUGGAAUCACUGGAUGAAUUUUGUGGAAAUGAUCUGUGCUUGUAUGUAUCUAUUGUUUUGUGUCUGUGCAAGGUCACACAAUUAAAAAAUAACUGCUGCACCCCACGGCUUUUUUUCAAGUCAGUCGUGACGCGAGCCUGAGGGCGGGGACAUUUGGCGACUCGACCAGGAAGUCCUCCGAAGGAUAGACCGUCCCAUUUCACAAAAACAGGACCAUCUCACUCAGGUUACUCAAGUCCACAUAACGGCAGUUAUGCGGUCUCUGAAAUGAGACACAGCCACAGAGCGCUAAGCAGGGAUGAUACGAGAGCGAGGCGAGAGAGGGGGGCAAGAGAGAGAGAGGAAACUUAACUGGUUCGUGGAAGCAGGACACUUGUCCUGCUUACUUGGUUGUUUGCGUGGCUGAGGCAAAAUAGUAGGAAACACUCGGGAGGCGCUCAGAGUAGAACCGCUGCUCCUCCACGUUGAGAGGAGUCAGCUGAGGUGGCUCGGGCAUCUGGUUAGGAUGCCUUCUGGAUGCCUCCUGUUAGAGGUGUUCCAGACAUGUCCCACCGGGAGGAGACCUCGUGGCCGGCCCAGGACCAGUUGGAGGGAUUAUAUCUCUCGCCUGGCCUGGGAGCGCCUGGGAAUCCCCCCGGAGGAGCUGGCGGAAGUGGCCUGGGUGAGGGCCGUCUGGGCUUCCCUCCUGAAGCUGCUGCCCCCAUGGCCCAGACCUGGA